GAUGAACGCUGGCGGCGUGCCUAAUACAUGCAAGUCGAGCGAACAGACGAGGAGCUUGCUCCUCUGAUGUUAGCGGCGGACGGGUGAGUAACACGUGGAUAACCUACCUAUAAGACUGGGAUAACUUCGGGAAACCGGAGCUAAUACCGGAUAACAUGUUGAACCGCAUGGUUCAACAGUGAAAGACGGUCUUGCUGUCACUUAUAGAUGGAUCCGCGCCGCAUUAGCUAGUUGGUAAGGUAACGGCUUACCAAGGCAACGAUGCGUAGCCGACCUGAGAGGGUGAUCGGGCAAAAUGGGACUUGGACACGGUCCCAACUUCCAAGGGAGGCCGGCGGAGGGAAUCUUCCGGAAUGGGGGGAAACCUGAAGGAGCAAAGCCGCGUGAGUUAAGAAGGUUUUCGGGUCGGAAAACCCUGUUAAUAGGGAAAAAACAAUGGGGAAAGUAACAAGCACGUCUUGAAGGUAACCAAACCAGAAACCAACGCCAACUACGUG
rnacentral:rRNA from 1 species